UACGAGGGGGGCAAAUGUUGUUCGGAAUCACUGGGCGUAAAGGGAGCGUAGGCGGGUUUCUAAGUUGGAUGUUUAACCCCGGGGCCCAACCCCGGAUCGGCAUCCAAAACUGGGAAUCUUGAAUAGGGGAGAGGUCAGUGGAAUUGGAGGUGUAGCGGUGGAAUGCGUAGAGAUCUCCAAGAACACCAGUUGCGAAGGCGGCUGACUGGACCCAUAUUGACGCUGAGGCUCGAAAGCAUGGGGAGCAAACAGG
rnacentral:rRNA from 1 species